CUGCACCUUCAUUAAAAUAUUUAAUGAUGCAAAUUCAAGGCAGCUUCUUGCUUUUUUCUCUAAUAUUCUUGCUUUCAAUUUUUAUAUUUUUUCAUUUCUACAUAAGCUAGCAUAAAUUUUUGCAUUUGUUACCUUUCUGCAUCUAUGCUUUUCUUUCUCACAGCUUCUUACAUCAUUUUCUUUCUUUUUUAUAUCUUUAGCUUUUUUCUUCCUAUUUGAUGUGUCUUUUUAUGUUUUACUACUUCUUUAGAUUCAUUCUUUUAUUUCUUUUUUAUAUCUUCAACUUUUUUUCUUCUUCUUAUUUUAUGUGUUUCUUUCUAUUUUACUACAUAUUUACAUUGCUUUUUCCUAUUUUCUGCACUUCUAAGCAAAAUAUUAUUAUAAUCUAAUACAGACAUUUAUUAAUCUCAUAAAUGUGAUAAUGAUGAAAGGGCAAAACAUUAUCACUAUUCUUCCUUAUAUUUUUAUAAAGGCCAUUUGUUUUUUAUAUUUUGUAGCACAAGUUGUAUAUAUUAGUCAAAAGUCAAAUGAAAAUAGAACUCCUCUUAUUUUCGUAAGAGAAAUUAUAUACUCCUAUAUUCACCAUUCUCCUACUCAUUUAUGAAGAUGGCAUCACAUAAAAGUGCCAAAAUGGAUGCAACAAGAUGAAAACAAGAAAUGGUUUUUUUUUCGAUUCCAUUUAUUUUGCUUAUUAAAUAUACCCACGCGAUGCGUGGACCAUAUUGACUCAAGAAUUCUGAAUAUCCUUUUUUUUCCACAAAUGAGUAUAAGUAAAAUAUAAAAUUGCUCCUAAUGACUCUUCCAUUUGAUGCAAGCAACACAUACAAAAUCAAGAAAAUUGAAGUUUUUUCUUUCUAAUUUAGGCUGUGCAAUUGAAAACAUAUCAUGUACAUAAACCAAAAAAAUAUAUCAAUAAUGCCACGACACAUUUGAACAUAUCAUGUACAUAAACCAAAAAAAUAUAUCAAUAAUGCCACGACACAUUUGUGUUUUGCUGAACAAUUAAUUAUUUCUUCAAGGAAAUUGCAUGUGAUAUCAAAGGCAAUAUAUUCAUGUUUUAUAGUCUUUAUAACAAUGAUAUCAAAUGCAUAUUCAUCCAGAUAAUUUCUGAUAUUGUUUCUACAGUUUCUCCUUCAUCACAAUAUGCGAAUCUGUUAUUCAAAAUCAGAAGAAGAAAUGUAAUCUAAAUUGUUGGAAAGUGAUCAUACCUAUUUAUCAAGAAAAUCUGCUUGACAGAGGACUUGCCGUAACCAAGAGGCGUCGGAGUGAUAACCCACAAGCACAUAAUACCCAUUUGUGUAUAAACUGGUAGAUCUACAUGCAAAAAAAAAUUAAAAUGUUCAUAGAUCUGCAAAAGUAAUAUGUGAAAAAAUAUAAAGAUGUUCUCUGUAUAAUAAAAAACUAAUCUGCAAAAACAAAAAUUGUUGGUUUAAGAACCAAUUUGAGUAGAUAUUCCUAGAUCUACAAAAAUGAUACCAUAAACACAAAAAAUGAAAAAGUUAAAAAAGAAAAAAUAAUAUGCGAAUGAACCUAAAGAUCUUCAGCUUUAAGCUAACACUUUGUGAAGAUAUUUACCAAGAAUAAUAAGAAAACACGAAAAACUGAAAAUUAAUUUGCCAAAAUAGUGUCACAAACACACACUGACAAGAAACAUCCACAUUAACAAGAACACAAAUAUUUAUAUGGAGAAGCGUGGAAUUAAAUAUGCAGGCGGAGGGGGCCGUGGGCCGAAGAUGUGGUGGCGUUAGCGGCUGCUUCUCCUUUUGCGGUGUCAACAUUUUUGUCCGAUUUUAAAAUUUAGGUGUUCAAAGAGAAGAGGGGGAGGGGGCGAAAGCUAGGUUUUUUUUUUGGAGUGGCUAGAGAAAGCGAUGCUCGAUAAAUGGGCAGACGAGGAAGAAGGGGAAUAAGAGCAGACGAGGAAGAAGGGGAAUAAGAGGAGAAGGAUGCAGAUGAGCGAGAAGAGGAGGCCGAGUUCUGGAGGCUAGGGCUUGGGGUGUGCAGAGGGACGCAGCGGCGCAUUUAUCGUCGUCAACGAGGGAAGCGACGCCGCAUAGAGCGGGGAUCUAGGGCUUUUGGACGGCGGCUUUGCCACCGUUCAGUUGCGAAACUUGAGAGCCCGAGGGAGAUGGGUGUUCACAAAUAGAGGGUGAGACAAAGGGAGAGAGAAGACGAGGGAGAGCAUCGGCGACCGUGGCUUCUCGCCGGCAGCGGCGCAUGUGGAAGAAGGAGAAAGGUUUGGACUGGGAGAAGAUGAACGAGGGAGAAGAGGCCGGCUGAACCCUAAAAUGAGAUGACAUGGGCUGUAUUUAAUUUAUCACUAUUGGGCUGUAUUUAUUUAAUUGGGCUGAAUUUAUUAGGCUGUAUUUAUUUAAUUGGGCUGUAUUUAUUUAAUUAUUCCAUUAUUAUU